GGAGAGGUGCCAGAGCGGUCGAAUGGGCCACCCUGGAAAGGUGGUGUAUCGGUAACGGUACCAAGGGUUCGAAUCCCUUCCUCUCCGCCA
rnacentral:tRNA from 1 species